rnacentral:rRNA from 1 species
GACGAACGCUGGCGGCGUGCUUAACACAUGCAAGUCGAACGCUGAAGCUCAGCUUUUGUUGGGUGGAUGAGUGGCGAACGGGUGAGUAACACGUGAGUAACCUGCCUCCUUCUUUGGGAUAACGCCCGGAAACGGGUGCUAAUACUGGAUAUUCACUGGUCUUCGCAUGGGGGUUGGUGGAAAGGGUUUUUCUGGUGGGGGAUGGGCUCGCGGCCUAUCAGCUUGUUGGUGGGGUGAUGGCGUACCAAGGCUUUGACGGGUAGCAGGCCUGAGAGGGUGACCGGUCACAUUGGGACUGAGAUACGGCCCAGACUCCUACGGGAGGCAGAAGUGGGGAAUAUUGCACAAUGGGCGCAAGCCUGAUGCAGCGACGCCGCGUGAGGGAUGGAGGCCUUCGGGUUGUGAACCUCUUUCGCUCAUGGUCAAGCCGCAACAAUGGUUGUGGUGAGGGUAGUGGGUAAAGAAGCGCCGGCUAACUACGUG